rnacentral:rRNA from 1 species
CCCUUAGAUGUUCUGGGCCGCACGCGCGCUACAAUGAUGAAUUCAACGAGUCUAUAACCUUGGUUGAAAAGCCUGGGUAAUCUUUUGAACUUUCGUCGUGAUGGGGCUAGACCCUUGCAAUUAUUGGUCUCCAACGAGGAAUUCCUAGUAAACGCAAGUCAUCAGCUUGCAUUGAUUACGUCCCUGCCCUUUGUACACACCGCCCGUCGCACCUACCGAUUGAAUGGUCCGGUGAAAUCUUCGGAUUGAGACUUUGAUUUGUUUACUCAAAACGCUGUUUCAAGAAGUUGAUUAAACCUUACCAUUUAGAGGAAGGUGAAGUCGUAACA